rnacentral:rRNA from 1 species
AAAGGAAUAGACGGGGGCCCGCACAAGCAGUGGAGUAUGUGGUUUAAUUCGAAGCAACGCGAAGAACCUUACCGGGGCUUGACAUGGAAGCGACAGGCGUAGAGAUACGCCCUUCUUCGGACGCUUCACACAGGUGGUGCAUGGUUGUCGUCAGCUCGUGUCGUGAGAUGUUGGGUUAAGUCCCGCAACGAGCGCAACCCUUAUCGUUAGUUGCUACAUUAAGUUGAGCACUCUAGCGAGACUGCCGUUGACAAAACGGAGGAAGGUGGGGACGACGUCAAAUCAUCAUGCCCCUUAUGUCCCGGGCUACACACGUACUACAAUGGCGUCUUAACAACGGGAAGCGAAGCCGCGAGGCGGAGCAAAACCCCAAAAGGCGUCUCAGUUCGGAUUGCAGGCUGCAACCCGCCUGCAUGAAGUCGGAAUUGCUAGUAAUCGCGAAUCAGCAUGUCGCGGUGAAUACGUUCCCGGGCCUUGUACACACCGCCCGU